rnacentral:rRNA from 1 species
AUUGAACGCUGGCGGCAUGCCUUACACAUGCAAGUCGAACGGCAGCGGGGGAGAAGCUUGCUUUUCCUGCCGGCGAGUGGCGAACGGGUGAGUAAUACAUUGGAACGUGCCCUGUAGUGGGGGAUAACUAGUCGAAAGAUUAGCUAAUACCGCAUACGACCUGAGGGUGAAAGUGGGGGACCGCAAGGCCUCAUGCUAUAGGAGCGGCCGAUGUCUGAUUAGCUAGUUGGUGGGGUAAAGGCCUACCAAGGCGACGAUCAGUAGCUGGUCUGAUAGUACGAUCAGCCACAAUGGGACUGAGACACGGCCCAGACUCCUACGGGAGGCAGCAGUGGUGAAUUUUGGACAAUGGGCGAAAGCCUGAUCCAGCAAUGCCGCGUGUGUGAAGAAGGCCUUCGGGUUGUAAAGCACUUUUGUCCGGAAAGAAAUGGCUCUGGUUAAUACCUGGGGUCGAUGACGGUACCGGAAGAAUAAGGACCGGCUAACUACGUGCCAGCCGCCGCCGUAA